rnacentral:rRNA from 1 species
UAGGGAAUAUUAGUAAUGGGCGCAAGCCUGAACUAGCAACGCCGCGUGUGCGAAGAAGGCCUUCGGGUUGUAAAGCACUUUUUGAGAGGAUGAGGAAGGACGGUACUCUCAGAAUAAGUCUCGGCUAACUACGUGCCAGCAGCCGCGGUAACACGUAGGAGGCGAACGUUAUCCGGAUUUACUGGGCGUAAAGCGCGUGUAGGUGGUUUGGUAAGUAGGGCGUGAAAGCUCCUGGCUCAACUGGGAGAGGCCGUUCUAAACUGCCGAACUAGAGGAUGGUAGAGGGGGGUGGGAUUCCGGGUGUAGCGGUGGAAUGCGCAGAUAUCCGGAGGAACACCAGUGGCGAAAGCGGCCUCCUGGACCAUUCCUGACACUCAGACGCGAAAGCUAGGGUAGCAAACGG